rnacentral:pre_miRNA from 1 species
UAUUAGUACUCUCAUAGGGGAAAACUUUAUGCCUUAUGAUGCUAAUUAAAAUCCAUAAGCGUAUAGCUUUUCCCCUUUGGUGGCACUAAA